GCGCCAGUAGCUCAGCAGGAUAGAGCAGCGGCCUUCUAAGCCGUCGGUCGGGGGUUCGAAUCCUCCCUGGCGCGCCA
rnacentral:tRNA from 1 species